CGGAUCCUAAGACACCACACUUUUCUUAUCGCAUUAGGGUUUAUCUUCUUCAGUACGCUUCUGCAUCUCUAUCUCAAAUCGAUGACAAGAUUUCAUCUUCUUCCCUAAGAUUCAUCGAUUUUCAUCUCUCAGUUUAGGGUUUUGACUAUAUAUUUCUUAUAAUCCGAAGAACACACAACCUUCAUUCGCAUCUAGGGUUUCUGUUUCUUCCAUCAUACAUCUUCUUCUCAUCAUCCCUAAAUCUCAUUCCUGAAAGAUCAUCAAUACCAAGAUCUCUUUUUUUUUUUUGCAUUUUUUCGAUCUUAUCAGAUCAUAGGUACGAAUCGCUCCUCACCUCUAAAGUCGGCAUCUGUGGUUUUGCGAUAAAGGUUACAAGUCCAAAAUCUUAUUCUCAAUGCCACUACAUAAGGCAAUAGAAGAGACAUACAAUAUAGAAAACGAGCAUUUGAAUUCUGGAUACAAAGAUAGACAAGAACGUUCUAGCGAAUCGGAUCUGGUUGAGAUCCAAGUGGGACCUGCUACAGAUCUUGAUCAUGAAUAUUUCACUCAUAAGAAGUUAAUUUGUUGCAGUCAUGUUUUCAUAACUUCAUCUUUAUGGAUUCUGAUGUUUUUCUGGGCAUCUUCGUAUUUUUAGAUGUACUGUGAUGGUUAAUCUUUGGGUACAUGUUGAAUGCAAUGAAAUUUCAAGCAAUCGCUUCACGGUA